rnacentral:rRNA from 1 species
CUUGCUUCUCUUGAGAGCGGCGGACGGGUGAGUAAUGCCUAGGAAUCUGCCUGGUAGUGGGGGAUAACGUUCGGAAACGGACGCUAAUACCGCAUACGUCCUACGGGAGAAAGCAGGGGACCUUCGGGCCUUGCGCUAUCAGAUGAGCCUAGGUCGGAUUAGCUAGUUGGUGGGGUAAUGGCUCACCAAGGCGACGAUCCGUAACUGGUCUGAGAGGGUGAUCAGUCACACUGGAACUGAGACACGGUCCAGACUCCUACGGGAGGCAGCAGUGGGGAAUAUUGGACAAUGGGCGAAAGCCUGAUCCAGCCAUGCCGCGUGUGUGAAGAAGGUCUUCGGAUUGUAAAGCACUUUAAGUUGGGAGGAAGG